GAAAAGUGAUUGGGUCAGAGUGAUUUGGCCAAAUCACUCGCAGAGACUGGCCAAAUCACUCGCAGAGACAGAAAAACUGGACUGACUCACAGAAAGCGAUUGGGGCAAGUGAUUUGCCCAAAUCACCCGCCCCAAUCACAUUGACAGCAGAGCGGGAAAAAGGGAAAAAUCAUAUUUAAAAAGAGUAGAAGCCCAAAAACACUUCAAACACUGCCAGCUCAAAUCCAAAAGCCACAAGGAUGUCCUUCUACCAAGAGAAUUCCAUCUACAACAAAAUACAAGAAGAGAAAGAGGAAUCAAAGACCACAAAGACCAAGUCAAAAUAGGGAUUCCAAACCCUAAUUGAACUUGGACUCUCCAGCUAUAAAAAGGCAGCCUCCAAACCAGCAAA
rnacentral:lncRNA from 1 species